rnacentral:lncRNA from 1 species
AUGAAACUCUCAAAGCAGUUUGUCAUUCUUAGUAUUCUCUGAAGCUGGACAUGUGAAUGCUUAAGACGAUGGCCCCAGGAGCAGCCUCUCCAAUGAUUUUAAAAGUCACUGAUGAAAUCAAUGUGUCAUUGAAAGGGGAUGGGACCCUGGAUGCUUUAAACAUAAUCACAUGGAAAAGCAAGCUACCAAAUUUUAUUCUCUGUAAAUGUAUUUUUUUACACAUAGUUCUAAUCUUCAAAAGUAUUACCAAGGCUCUAACUUCCAUUAUUAUGAUAUUAUACUUAAUCCAGAAUACUAAAUAAGUGAGCAUAGCUUGGUAGUUUUUGUGCUUCAGAAAUCCUUUUAAAUGCUCACUGAUAUGUAACCUGUCAAUCAGAAAAAUAGAUUAAGAAGAUGCUCAGAUUCUAUUCUGUAUAAACCUCUGUAAAGAAAGCCUUGGGUUAUUGACAAAUGAAAUACACUCUUUGAGUCUCU